rnacentral:tRNA from 1 species
GCCUUCGUGAUGUAGUGGUCAGCACGCUCGACGUAUAUCCGAGAGGUCCGUGGUUCGAGUCCCGGCGAGGGCA